GUUAAAAAGCUCGUAGUUGGAUUUCUGUCAGUGAGUUGCAGUCCGCCCACAGCGGUUGGUACUUGCUACGCCACUGGCAUCUUCCUGGGGAAUGUGUCUGCUCUUUAUUGAGUGGCGCACAAUCCAGGACUUUUACUUUGAAGAAAUGAGAGUGUUUCAAGCAGGCAUGCGCCGUGAAUACGUUAGCAUGGGAUAAUAGCAUCGGACCUCGUUCCAAAGCUGUUGGUUUCUUGGACCGAGGUAAAGGUGAAUAGGGAUUGUUGGGGGCAUUCGUAUUUGACUGUCAGAGGUGAAAUUCUUGGAUUUGUUGAAGACGGACUACUGCGAAAGCAUCUGCCAAAGAUGUUCUCAUUGAUCAAGAACGAAAGUUAGGUGAUCGAAGACGAUCAGAUACCGUCCUAGUCUUAACCAUAAACUAUGCCGACUGGAGAUCGGGGGUCGUUAAUUACGUGACGCCCUCUGCAUCUUGAGAGAAAUCAAAGUCUUUGGGUUCCGGGGGGAGUAUGGUCGCAAGGCUGAAACUUAAAGGAAUUGACGGAAGGGCACCACCAGGAGUGGAGCCUGCGGCUUAAUUUGACUCAACACGGGGAAACUUACCAGGUCCAGACAUAGUAAGGAUUGACAGACUGAUAGCUCUUUCGAGAUUCUAUGGGUGGUGGUGCAUGGCCGUUCUUAGUUGGUGGAGUGAUUUGUCUGGUUAAUUCCGUU
rnacentral:rRNA from 1 species